GAUGAACGCUGGCGGCGUGCCUAAUACAUGCAAGUCGAGCGAACAGACGAGGAGCUUGCUCCUCUGACGUUAGCGGCGGACGGGUGAGUAACACGUGGAUAACCUACCUAUAAGACUGGGAUAACUUCGGGAAACCGGAGCUAAUACCGGAUAACAUGUUGAACCGCAUGGUUCAACAGUGAAAGACGGUCUUGCUGUCACUUAUAGAUGGAUCCGCGCCGCAUUAGCUAGUUGGUAAGGUAACGGCUUACCAAGGCAACGAUGCGUAGCCGACCUGAGAGGGUGAUCGGCCACACUGGAACUGAGACACGGUCCAGACUCCUACGGGAGGCAGCAGUAGGGAAUAUUCCGCAAAGGGCGAAAGCCUGACGGAGCAACGCCGCGUGAGUGAAGAAGGUCUUCGGAUCGUAAAACUCUGUUAUUAGGGAAGAACAACUGUGUAAGUAACUAUGCCCGUCUUGACGGUACCUAAUCAGAAAGCCCCGGCUAACUACGUG
rnacentral:rRNA from 1 species